ncrna:unclassified sequences gut-2 RNA
GACGUGCCCGGAAACGGCCGGGCAUAAGAGCUGAACGGAGCUGACUGU